CCGAGUGUUGAUAGCUCAGUUGGUAGAGCGGAGGACUGUAGAUCCUUAGGUCGCUGGUUCGACUCCGGCUCGAAGGA